AUUGAACGCUGGCGGAAUGCUUUACACAUGCAAGUCGAACGGCAGCACGGGGGCGAACCCUGGUGGCGAGUGGCGAACGGGUGAGUAACACAUCGGAACGUGCCCAGUCGUGGGGGAUAACGUAGCGAAAGCUACGCUAAUACCGCAUACGAACUCUGGUUGAAAGCGGGGGACUCGCAAGGGCCUCGCGCGAUUGGAGCGGCCGAUGGCAGAUUAGGUAGUUGGUGGAGAAGGCCUACCAAGCCGACGAUCUGUAGCUGGUCUGAGAGGACGACCAGCCACACUGGGACUGAGACACGGCCCAGACUCCUACGGGAGGCAGCAGUGGGGUAAUUUUGGACAAUGGGCGCAAGCCUGAUCCAGCCAUUCCGCGUGCAGGAU
rnacentral:rRNA from 1 species